AUAGUUUAUGUAGAAUUUUUUGUUUACGACAAAGAGGUAAAGGGGUCCUUUU
rnacentral:tRNA from 1 species